rnacentral:rRNA from 1 species
GACGAACGCUGGCGGCGUGCCUAAUACAUGCAAGUCGAACGCUUUUACUUUCACCGGAGCUUGCUCCACCGAAAGAAAAAGAGUGGCGAACGGGUGAGUAACACGUGGGUAACCUGCCCAUCAGAAGGGGAUAACACUUGGAAACAGGUGCUAAUACCGUAUAACACUAUUUUCCGCAUGGAAGAAAGUUGAAAGGCGCUUUUGCGUCACUGAUGGAUGGACCCGCGGUGCAUUAGCUAGUUGGUGAGGUAACGGCUCACCAAGGCAACGAUGCAUAGCCGACCUGAGAGGGUGAUCGGCCAACCUGGGACUGAGACACGGCCCAGACUCCUACGGGAGGCAGCAGUAGGGAAUCUUCGGCAAUGGACGAAAGUCUGACCGAGCAACGCCGCGUGAGUGAAGAAGGCUUUCGGAUCGUAAAACUCUGUUGUUAGAGAAGAACAAGGAUGAGAGUAAAACGUUCAUCCCUUGACGGUAUCUAACCAGAAAGCCACGGCUAACUACGUGCCAGCAGCCGCGGUAA